UAAGUAAGUGGUGGAAAUUAAACCAAAUGGGAUUUCUUUAGUAAUUGCGAAUGAACAAGGAUAUGCUUAGCUUGACAAAUGGAGCUUUUGGCUUUGAGUUGUAUUGUGGAAAUGUACCACCAACAGAGGUGCAAGUGUCAGCCAUUUGAAAGAAAGCGUCAAUGAGGGUGAGAAUCCUGUUUGUCAUGUGCAGCCCUCUGUGCACGGUGUAUAUUUGCUGAGUCACACUCCUUGGCAUUGGAAUGCAAAGUGGGUGGUAAGUUUCAUACAAAGGUAAAUAUGCAAUUGAGACUGAUAGCACACAAGUACCAUGAGGGAAAUAUGAAAAGGACUUUGAAAAGAGAAUUAAAUGAGUUUGUAUUUGCUGAACACAAAGCAAACAGACUUGAUUUGCUUGGUGAGAUUGUAGUGCUUGCUUGACAAUAGGUUUUGGCUGUGGGUGAAAUGAUUCUUUCUUUGCAUGCCAGGUUCUAUGUGUACAUUUGAUUACCUUUGCACAUGAAUGGUAAUUUUCCUGCGGGGGGUGGAUUGCAUGUGCAUGUAAUGAUUUGUGUUUUGAUGAAUGUGUCUGGUGUAUCUGUUUUUGUUCCAUGUGUUUGAGGUUGUCUUCCUUCCUUGGGCUUACAAGCCCUGACACACACAAUCUGGCAAAUUGUUUCUGCUUGACCCG
rnacentral:rRNA from 1 species